AAAGUACUCCCUCCGUCCCAAAAUGCUUGUCUUAGAUUUGUCUAGAUACAGAUGUAUCAAGUCACAUUUUAGUAUUAGAUACAUCCGUAUCUAGACAAAUCUAAGACAAGAAAUUUGGGACAGAGGGAGUAGUUG
rnacentral:pre_miRNA from 1 species